rnacentral:rRNA from 1 species
AACGAACGCUGGCGGCAGGCCUAACACAUGCAAGUCGAGCGGGACCUUCGGGUCUAGCGGCGGACGGGUUAGUAACGCGUGGGAACGUGCCCAAAGGUACGGAAUAGCCUCGGGAAACUGAGAGUAAUACCGUAUGUGCCCCUCGGGGGAAAGAUUUAUCGCCUUUGGAUCGGCCCGCGUUGGAUUAGGUAGUUGGUGGGGUAAUGGCCUACCAAGCCGACGAUCCAUAGCUGGUUUGAGAGGAUGAUCAGCAACACUGGGACUGAGACACGGCCCCAGACUCCUACGGGAGGCAGCAGUGGGGAAUCUUAGACAAUGGGGGAAACCCUGAUCUAGCCAUGCCGCGUGAGCGAUGAAGGCCUUAGGGUUGUAAAGCUCUUUCAGAUGGGAAGAUAAUGACGGUACCAUCAGAAGAAGCCCCGGCUAACUCCGUGCCAGCAGCCGCGGUAAUGUCUGUACU